rnacentral:rRNA from 1 species
AUUUGGAGAGUUUGAUCCUGGCUCAGGACGAACGCUGGCGGCGUGCCUAAUACAUGCAAGUCGAGCGGAGCUUAUCCUUCGGGAUAAGCUUAGCGGCGGACGGGUGAGUAACACGUAGGCAACCUACCCUCUAGACUGGGAUAACUACCGGAAACGGUAGCUAAU